rnacentral:piRNA from 1 species
UGUUCGAACGUGAGCAACGAGGGCAUCUCC